AACGAACGCUGGCGGCAUGCCUAACACAUGCAAGUCGAACGAGACCUUCCGGUCUAGUGGCGCACGGGUGCGUAACGCGUGGGAACCUGCCCUCAGGUUCGGAAUAACUCCUCGAAAGGGGUGCUAAUACCGGGUAAUGUUUUCGGACCAAAGAUUUAUCGCCUUUGGAUGGACCUGCGUUGGAUUAGGUAGAUCGUAGGGUAAAAGCUGACCACGGUGCCGUUCCAGAACUGGUCUGAGAGGAUUCUCAGCCAGUCUAUGAUUGAGAUACGCCCCAGGCUCUUACAGAAGGCCGCAGAGGAGAAUCUUAGUCCGUGGCCGAAAGCCUACUAAAGCCAUGGCGCUUAAGUGAUGAGUGCCUUAGCGUUGUAAAGCUCUCUUACCCGGGAUGAUAAUGACAGUACCGGGAGAAUCAGCUCCGGCUAACUACGUG
rnacentral:rRNA from 1 species